UUAACUUACGAGCUGCUUCAGUUGACAUCCUGGCCGGGGGGGGUUCUGAAAAACAGAAAUUCAGUCUGUCCAAAAUGUUCCUUCUCCCUCUUUUGUUAAAUGAUGGUACGAUCUAUAGCAUUAUGAAAUAGUUUGUACUGCUUUUUCGUAUUACAUGGAUAUAUGCAUCAGCUGCUGAAUGCAAACAAUGUUGCUUUUUUUUGUUGUAAAAAUCUGACCAGGAAAUUCAGACCUGGAGGUAGCAAUGAAGAAGUUUCUAUGUCUCUCCUCAAAUGAACUCUUCUUUUCUUCCUGUUGGUUUCUUUGAUUCAUCUUGUUCGUCGUACCUUGCUGUAUAUACCAGUUUUCAGAAAAUGGAAUUCUUCCAUUAAUGAAAGAAAAUGACUUGGG
rnacentral:lncRNA from 1 species